UACCACGUGCUAUGGAACAAGUCUUCUUUAGUGCCGAGGAUCUCAUGAGUAAAGGUUGGAAGUACGAGAUACAAGCGUCUUUUCUCGAAAUAUACAGCGAGACAAUACGUGAUCUCCUUAGAAACCCAGACAGCACAAACAAUGAGAUUAAACAAUGAGAUUAAACAAGUAACCACAAACAAUGGCAAACAAGGCAACGAUGUGUUUGUUACCAACUUGAAAGCCGUUGCCGUUACAUCAUCCGAUCAAGGAAUUAUUUAUCAAGUAUUUCAUCAUGGGUGAUCAGAUGUUCAUGGGAACUCAGCCCGAAUGCUUUCUGUUUGGCGAUAACAGUGACUAGAGCUUUCUACCGUCAAAACCAGCUUCGGUGUAAACAAUUAUUUGUUACAUAACAAAUAGAUAACAAAUAAAUAACAAAUAAACAAAUAGAUUAUUUGUUACAUGACAAAAAGAUAUUAAUUAUACAGUAAGAGCUGUUUAACUAAAGAAAUGACGAAAAGUUUGUUUGAUUAUUAACUUUGGAAUCAGGCAAUUUCAUUUUCAUUAUUUGUGUAAGAGAAUGAAGAAAAUUAGUUUGAUGAAAGACAAGGAAGGCUUGCUUUAAAUGAAAA